GAUUCCAUCCCGAACUCAGAAGUGAAACGAAACAGCGUCGAUGGUAGUGUGGGGUUUCCCCAUGUGAGAGUAGAACAUCGCCAGGC
rnacentral:rRNA from 3 species